GUUGAAAAUGCCCCAUAGAGUAACAUUGUGGUUUUGCUGUACUCACAGGAUUAUUUGUUAGAUCUGUGGGAGGAACUACGAGAAAAUU
rnacentral:snoRNA from 1 species